AUCAGGAAGCUUUUGGGCGAGAACGGCGGCGACGCGGUUCACGCGCGUCGCGACGCGUCAGUUCUCGUCAUCGUCGUUCUCCUCCUUUUCUUCCUUCGUCUUUUCUUCAUCUUCUUGUUCGCGCUCUCUUGGAAAUCCCCACGGAACGGUCGACAUCUCCUAAUCUAGACAUUAACGCGGGCCAUUGCCAAUCGUCCGUUGCAGUUAUCUGCUCUUCGUGACUCUCGUUGAAUGAUAAUCUAUUUUGUGAUUAGAUAUCAAGAAAGAUCUUUAAUUGGAUGAUCGAAUGUGCGAUUUGCAGCUUCGGCUUCUCGUGGUCGUUCUCCGAAUUGCCGAGAUGCUUUUGGCAUACGCCGGAAAUCCCCGAUGCUUCGCGGCACUCCUGAAAAUACUCGCUCAUGGCCAAAUCAGGCUAUUAACGCGAGACGAUGUACUCCUCCGGUGUACGAAGUACUAUUUGAUAUUUGAAGAAUCUAUAUUACAUUGAAAAAUAGAAGAGAGGAAUAGCCCUAAACUAAGGAAGAUUUUAUUUCCAUCAAGAAAAACCCUUGUCGCAUUCUUUUUCGUCUGAUUUAGUGAAGCGUUUGAACAUUGCGACUUCGCACCACCUACAUAUGACUGUGACUGUGCCCUAAGGUAUUUAGACAAAUUGCCAAUUGGCAUUUAAUUCAUUCGUACACAUAAUGAAGUGUUAUAUGCGCGUUGUACGUAAUAAUUCAUUCCUCUUUCGGCGAAAAAAAAAGUACAUAAAA